UACGGAGGGAGCUAGCGUUGUUCGGAAUUACUGGGCGUAAAGGGCUCGUAGGCGGCCAACUAAGUCAGACGUGAAAUCCCUCGGCUUAACCGGGGAACUGCAUCUGAUACUGGAUGGCUUGAGAUUGGGAGAGGGAUGCGGAAUUCCAGGUGUAGCGGUGAAAUGCGUAGAUAUCUGGAGGAACACCGGUGGCGAAGGCGGCAUCCUGGACCGGUAUUGACGCUGAGGCGCGAAAGCCAGGGGAGCAAACGGG
rnacentral:rRNA from 1 species